GUGCCAGCCGCCGCGGUAAUACGGAAGGGGCAAGCGUUGUUCGGAAUUAUUGGGCGUAAAGGGCGUGUAGGCGGCUUCGCAGGUCGGUGGUGAAAGCAUACAGCUCAACUGUAUUGAGCCACGGAAACGGCGGAGCUUGAGGCUGGGAGGGGCUGGUGGAAUUCCCUGUGUAGCGGUGAAAUGCGUAGAGAUGGGGGAGAACACUCGUGGCGAAGGCGGCCAGCUGGACCAGUUCUGACGCUGAGACGCGAAAGCGUGGGGAGCAAACAGGAUUAGAAACCCCUGUAGUCC
rnacentral:rRNA from 1 species